AUUGAACGCUGGCGGCAUGCUUUACACAUGCAAGUCGAACGGCAGCGGGGUAGUGCUUGCACUACUGUCCGGCGAGUGGCGAACGGGUGAGUAAUAUAUCGGAACGUACCGAGUAAUGGGGGAUAACCAAUCGAAAGAUUGGCUAAUACCGCAUACGUCCUAAGGGAGAAAGCGGGGGAUCGCAAGACCUCGCGUUAUUCGAGCGGCCGAUAACUGNUUAGCUAGUUGGUGGGGUAAAGGCCUACCAAGGCGACGAUCAGUAGCGGGUCUGAGAGGACGAUCCGCCACACUGGGACUGAGACACGGCCCAGACUCCUACGGGAGGCAGCAGUGGGGAAUUUUGGACAAUGGGGGCAACCCUGAUCCAGCCAUGCCGCGUGUAUGAAGAAGGCCUUCGGGUUGUAAAGUACUUUUGUUAGGGAAGAAAAGGGAAGUGCUAAUACCACUUUUUGCUGACGGUACCUAAAGAAUAAGCACCGGCUAACUACGUGCCAGCAGCCGCGGUAAUACGUAGGGUGCGAGCGUUAAUCGGAAUUACUGGGCGUAAAGCGAGCGCAGACGGUUAUUUAAGCAGGAUGUGAAAUCCCCGGGCUUAACCUGGGAACUGCGUUCUGAACUGGAUAGCUAGAGUGUGUCAGAGGGGGGUAGAAUUCCACGUGUAGCAGUGAAAUGCGUAGAGAUGUGGAGGAAUACCGAUGGCGAAGGCAGCCCCCUGGGAUAACACUGACGUUCAUGCUCGAAAGCGUGGGUAGCAAACAGG
rnacentral:rRNA from 1 species